UAGAGAUGGGCACGCGCAAGAUUAGAUAGUUGGUGAGGUAACGGCUCACCAAGUCGAUGAUCUUUAGGGGGCCUGAGAGGGUGAUCCCCCACACUGGUACUGAGACACGGACCAGACUCCUACGGGAGGCAGCAGUGAGGAAUAUUGGACAAUGGGUUAGCGCCUGAUCCAGCCAUCCCGCGUGAAGGACGACGGCCCUAUGGGUUGUAAACUUCUUUUGUACAGGGAUAAACCUAUUUACGUGUAAAUAGCUGAAGGUACUGUACGAAUAAGCACCGGCUAACUCCGUGCCAGCAGCCGCGGUAAUACGGAGGGUGCAAGCGUUAUCCGGAUUUAUUGGGUUUAAAGGGUCCGUAGGCGGAUGUGUAAGUCAGUGGUGAAAUCUCACAGCUUAACUGUGAAACUGCCAUUGAUACUGCAUGUCUUGAGUAAGGUAGAAGUGGCUGGAAUAAGUAGUGUAGCGGUGAAAUGCAUAGAUAUUACUUAGAACACCAAUUGCGAAGGCAGGUCACUAUGUCUUAACUGACGCUGAUGGACGAAAGCGUGGGGAGCGAACAGGAUUAGAUACCCUGGUAGUCCACGCCGUAAACGAUGCUAACUCGUUUUUGGGUUUUCGGAUUCAGAGACUAAGCGAAAGUGAUAAGUUAGCCACCUGGGGAGUACGUUCGCAAGAAUGAAACUCAAAGGAAUUGACGGGGGCCCGCACAAGCGGUGGAUUAUGUGGUUUAAUUCGAUGAUACGCGAGGAACCUUACCAAGGCUUAAAUGGGAAUUGAUCGGUUUAGAAAUAGACCUUCCUUCGGGCAAUUUUCAAGGUGCUGCAUGGUUGUCGUCAGCUCGUGCCGUGAGGUGUUAGGUUAAGUCCUGCAACGAGCGCAACCCCUGUUACUAGUUGCUACCAUUAAGUUGAGGACUCUAGUAAGACUGCCUACGCAAGUAGAGAGGAAGGUGGGGAUGACGUCAAAUCAUCACGGCCCUUACGCCUUGGGCCACACACGUAAUACAAUGGCAGGUACAGAGGGCAGCUACACAGCGAUGUGAUGCGAAUCUCGAAAGCCUGUCUCAGUUCGGAUUGGAGUCUGCAACUCGACUCUAUGAAGCUGGAAUCGCUAGUAAUCGCGCAUCAGCCAUGGCGCGGUGAAUACGUUCCCGGGCCUUGUACACACCGCCCGUCAAGCCAUGGAAGUCUGGGGUACCUGAAGUCG
rnacentral:rRNA from 1 species